rnacentral:rRNA from 1 species
CACGUAGGGUGCGAGCGUUGUCCGGAAUUAUUGGGCGUAAAGAGCUCGUAGGCGGUGUGUCGCGUCGGCCGUGAAAACCUGCAGCUUAACUGUGGGCGUGCGGUCGAUACGGACAUCACUGGAGUUCGGCAGGGGAGACUGGAAUUCCUGGUGUAGCGGUGAAAUGCGCAGAUAUCAGGAGGAACACCGGUGGCGAAGGCGGGUCUCUGGGCCGAUACUGACGCUGAGGAGCGAAAGCGUGGGGAGCAAACAGG